rnacentral:lncRNA from 1 species
AGGCAGACAGGUUGUGACAGCCUGUGAGGACCUCUUGGCUCCCGGAGCCUUCUCUCUCCUGGAAUAGAGAUGACACCGUGCUGCCAUUGAACUCAACCCAAAAAAAUGAUCUGUUGCAAAGCUCACAGGAAAUAAUGGAGCAAUGUUACACGAUAAACUGUAAAGUGUGGUGAGCAUGUGAACAAGUGUCCAGGACCCAGCGAAGCCCCAGGCUACUGGGCUAGGAGUCAGAUGAGAAGAGGCAGAGGGCAACCUCAUGUAGGAUCUAAGGCCUCCAUGUGCUCAGCCCAUGGCUGUCAUCACGGUGACGUGUGCAUGCGAUGUAUCUGGGCCAUCCUUGUUCUUGAAUGCGGGCAGUGAGUCCCACGGUGAUGUGGCAUAUCACAAGCUGAAGGAGGGGCACCUGCAUUCAGGCUUGUGAACCAGCGAGACAGCCUUUGGACCUUUCGGAGCCUCAAUUUCCCACACUGAGAAUUGGAGUG